GAAAUAUUAACUGUUUCAUUUAAAUUUUUUAUAGAAUUUUAUUUUUUAGUCAAAAAGCUAAAAUAAGUUUAAAAGACGAGAAGACCCUAUAAAUCUUUAUAUUUUGUUUAUUUUAAUUAUAAAGAUUAUUUUUGUUAUAAUAAAUUAAAAUAUUUUAUUGGGGUGAUAUUAAAAUUUAAAAAACUUUUAAUUUUUAAAACCAUUAAUUUAUGAACUAUUGAUCCAUUAAUAAUGAUUAAAAAUUUAAGUUACUUUAGGGAUAACAGCGUAAUUUUUUUGGAGAGUUCAUAUCGAUAAAAAAGAUUGCGACCUCGAUGUUGGAUUAAGAUAUAAUUUUGGGUGUAGCCGUUCAAAUUUUAAGUCUGUUCGACUUUUAAAUUCUU
rnacentral:rRNA from 1 species